rnacentral:rRNA from 1 species
UGGGGAAUUUUGGACAAUGGGGGAAACCCUGAUCCAGCCAUCCCGCGUGUGCGAUGAAGGCCUUCGGGUUGUAAAGCACUUUUGGCAGGAAAGAAACGUCAUGGGUUAAUACCCCGUCAAACUGACGGUACCUGCAGAAUAAGCACCGGCUAACUACGUGCCAGCAGCCGCGGUAAUACGUAGGGUGCAAGCGUUAAUCGGAAUUACUGGGCGUAAAGCGUGCGCAGGCGGUUCGGAAAGAAAGAUGUGAAAUCCCAGAGCUCAACUUUGGAACUGCAUUUUUAACUACCGGGCUAGAGUGUGUCAGAGGGAGGUGGAAUUCCGCGUGUAGCAGUGAAAUGCGUAGAUAUGCGGAGGAACACCGAUGGCGAAGGCAGCCUCCUGGGAUAACACUGACGCUCAUGCACGAAAGCGUGGGGAGCAAACAGG